AUGGUUGUCCCUCUUCUCCGUUUCCUUCCCCUCUGUUUCUCUCCCUCACACAAGGAUUGCCUCUCCCCUUCUUCUACAGGAGCAGCCAUGGCCACCGGCCGCCGCGCCGCCCACCACGACGAGCUGCUCAGCACUCUCCUCGCCGCCGCGGGCAACGGCCGGGAGGAGGAGGAGGACGCGCGGGAGGCGCGGCAGCGUCAGAAUCAACGCGUCGAAUCCGGCCUCGGCUUACGGCGACACGGACGUGGAGGCUCUGGCUGCGACCGCCGCACUCUAUGCCCCGACCCUGCUCGCCGAGCCCUGCCGCUCCGGUUCUCCAUCCAUGUACGCUGUCGGGGACUUGCAGGUCCAAGCUUGCUUCAAUUUGCAGAAGAAAGUUGGGUCCUCACGGAAAGGAAGGAUGUUUGCUAA
rnacentral:rRNA from 1 species